rnacentral:pre_miRNA from 1 species
UAGUUCCUUUUGAUCGGUGAGGAGGGGGGCGGGGGCAAGCAGGCAGCCUGCUUGCCCCCGCCCCCCUCCUCACCGAUCAGCGUGAGCGA